UGGCUCAGGAUGAACGCUGGCGGCGUGCUUAACACAUGCAAGUCGAGGGGCAGCAUGGUCUUAGCUUGCUAAGGCCGAUGACGACCGGCGCACGGGUGAGUAACACGUAUCCAACCUGCCGUCUACUCUUGGACAGCCUUCUGAAAGGAAGAUUAAUACAAGAUGGCAUCAUGAGUCCACAUGUUCACAUGAUUAAAGGUAUUCCGGUAGACGAUGGGGAUGCGUUCCAUUAGAUAGUAGGCGGGGUAACGGCCCACCUAGUCUUCGAUGGAUAGGGGUUCUGAGAGGAAGGUCCCCCACAUUGGAACUGAGACACGGUCCAAACUCCUACGGGAGGCAGCAGUGAGGAAUAUUGGUCAAUGGGCGAGAGCCUGAACCAGCCAAGUAGCGUGAAGGACGACUGCCCUAUGGGUUGUAAACUUCUUUUAUAAAGGAAUAAAGUCGGGUAUGCAUACCCGUUUGCAUGUACUUUAUGAAUAAGGAUCGGCUAACUCCGUGCCAGCAGCCGCGGUAAUACGGAGGAUCCGAGCGUUAUCCGGAUUUAUUGGGUUUAAAGGGAGCGUAGAUGGAUGUUUAAGUCAGUUGUGAAAGUUUGCGGCUCAACCGUAAAAUUGCAGUUGAUACUGGAUAUCUUGAGUGCAGUUGAGGCAGGCGGAAUUCGUGGUGUAGCGGUGAAAUGCUUAGAUAUCACGAAGAACUCCGAUUGCGAAGGCAGCCUGCUAAGCUGCAACUGACAUUGAGGCUCGAAAGUGUGGGUAUCAAACAGGAUUAGAUACCCUGGUAGUCCACACGGUAAACGAUGAAUACUCGCUGUUUGCGAUAUACAGCGAGCGGCCAAGCGAAAGCGUUAAGUAUUCCACCUGGGGAGUACGCCGGCAACGGUGAAACUCAAAGGAAUUGACGGGGGCCCGCACAAGCGGAGGAACAUGUGGUUUAAUUCGAUGAUACGCGAGGAACCUUACCCGGGCUUAAAUUGCAGAUGAAUUACGGUGAAAGCCGUAAGCCGCAAGGCAUCUGUGAAGGUGCUGCAUGGUUGUCGUCAGCUCGUUCCGUGAGGUGUCGGCUUAAGUGCCAUAACGAGCGCAACCCUUGUUGUCAGUUACUAACAGGUCAUGCUGAGGACUCUGACAAGACUGCCAUCGUAAGAUGUGAGGAAGGUGGGGAUGACGUCAAAUCAGCACGGCCCUUACGUCCGGGGCUACACACGUGUUACAAUGGGGGGUACAGAGGGCCGCUACCACGCGAGUGGAUGCCAAUCCCAAAAACCUCUCUCAGUUCGGACUGGAGUCUGCAACCCGACUCCACGAAGCUGGAUUCGCUAGUAAUCGCGCAUCAGCCACGGCGCGGUGAAUACGUUCCCGGGCCUUGUACACACCGCCCGUCAAGCCAUGAAAGCCGGGGGUACCUGAAGUGCGUAACCGCAAGGAGCGCCCUAGGGUA
rnacentral:rRNA from 1 species